GGGAUAACCAUUGGAAACGAUGGCUAAUACCGCAUGAUGCCUACGGGCCAAAGAGGGGGACCUUCGGGCCUCUCGCGUCAGGAUAUGCCUAGGUGGGAUUAGCUAGUUGGUGAGGUAAGGGCUCACCGAGGCGACGAUCCCUAGCUGGUCUGAGAGGAUGAUCAGCCACACUGGAACUGAGACACGGUCCAGACUCCUACGGGAGGCAGCAGUGGGGAAUAUUGCACAAUGGGCGCAAGCCUGAUGCAGCCAUGCCGCGUGUGUGAAGAAGGCCUUCGGGUUGUAAAGCACUUUCAGUCGUGAGGAAGGUGGUGUAGUUAAUAGCUGCAUCAUUUGACGUUAGCGACAGAAGAAGCACCGGCUAACUCCGUGCCAGCAGCCGCGGUAAUACGGAGGGUGCGAGCGUUAAUCGGAAUUACUGGGCGUAAAGCGCAUGCAGGUGGUUUGUUAAGUCAGAUGUGAAAGCCCGGGGCUCAACCU
rnacentral:rRNA from 1 species